UACGUAGGGGGGCUAGCGUUUGUCCGGAAUCAUUGGGCGUAAAGCGCGUGUAGGCGGUCCGGUAAGUCCGCUGUGAAAGUCGAGGGCUCAACCCUCGAAUGCCGGUGGAUACUGUCGGGCUAGAGUGCGGAAGAGGCGAGUGGAAUUCCUGGUGUAGCGGUGAAAUGCGCAGAUAUCAGGAGGAACACCUAUUGCGAAGGCAGCUCGCUGGGACGUUACUGACGCUGAGACGCGAAAGCGUGGGGAGCAAACAGG
rnacentral:rRNA from 1 species